AUGACCCUGGGGUACCUCACAGAGAUCAUGGAGCCUAAAGCUGGUUCUCUAGUUUCCAGUGAGCUGUCCCAGCUGCUCUCAGUGUCUGUGGCCCCGGGACAGACGGCCAGGAUCAUCUACUCUGGAGAUACCAUCGAAGACGGAUAUUAUGUGUACUGGUAUCAGCAGAAACCGGGACAGGCCCCUGUGCUGGUCAUCUAUGAUAAUAGUAAUCGGUCCUCAGGGAUCCCUGACCGAUUCCCAGGCUCUAGCUGGGGAAACACGGCCACCCUGACCAUCAGCGGGGCCCAGGCCGAGGAUGAGACUAACUGUUACUGUCAGAUGAGGACUGUACACAAAGCCAUGAUUGGUCUGGCCCAGGUCCCCAGAUCUGAGAUCCCCAGUCUGCUCUCCUCCUAG